AUUGCAUUGAUUUUUUUAAUUGAAACGCGAAGAAAUCGCAAACCUAGCCAGCUUAUCCUUGUGUAUAUAUAGGUAAGACUCCUCCCUCACGAAUGCCCAUCAUCAACUAUUCUUCUUCGUCUUUCGUAUUCACUUGUGGCCGAUAUUUCUGAUCUUCUUCUUCCUGUGACCAGUUCAUUUUAAUAGCUAAUUAAGUGGAUCUGGGUACAAAAACCUAGUAGCUCAAUCCCGUCAUUUGUUGGGUAGUGUUUACUAAGAGUACAUUGUUAACUGCUCAAGUGCACAACACGAGUAUAUAUGGGGAAGAUUCACCCUAGCCACGCCGACCAUGAGCUCGAGCUGAAAAGCUAUGAAAAACCCUACACAUGCGAUGGAUGCAAGGAGCCAGGGUUUGGGUCCCGAUACAGAUGCGAGCUGUGCAACUUUGAUCUUCAUAAAGACUGUAUGUUUGCCAGCGGCACCGCUCAUCAUGACUUCUUCAAGAAUUCAUCCUUGAAAUUCUUAUUUCAACCUCCAGGGAAUUGCUCUUGUGAAAAGUGUAGGAGAUACUGUGACGCCUGUGGAAAACCUAUUAAAGGUUUUGUCUAUCACGAUUAAAAAAAUGGAUGGGAUCUGCAUCCUUGCUGCCGUAACUUGCCCAGCAAUUUACUUGUUGAUGGUGUAAACUUUGCUCUCUGUGAUAAGGUGUUAUCAACUUGCCUUUGGUGCAACAAGAAAAAGCGUGAAGGUACUGUUUCCGGCAUCAGGGGCUGGAGCUAUGUGUCGAAGACCGAGAACUACCAUUUUCAUGUGAAUUGUGCGACAGAAAUGGCGCUGGAGGGAUGGGGAAAAGGGGCUAAUUAUGACCAUGAUUAUAGUUUGGCUUUGGAGAAAGUGGAGUUGCCUAUUCAACGUUACAAUAGGAAUCAAAGAAGUAGCAACAAAUUUAUCAGGAUGGUGAAGGUAAUCUUCAAAACCAUUGCGGCUAUUCUUUUAGGCGAUCCAACCACCACUCUUACUUGCCUCCUCGCGGAGUUGGUCGCAAACUGACGAUGGCUUUGUGUGCUUUCGACUAAAGAAAACCCUCUUCUUCAUUAGAGUUACCAUUCAUGUAUAUUGUGUGUAUCCUAUAUUUUUUCAAGCUGAACCUUCAAUGGAAGUCAGCCUUUAAUGACAAUGUCUUUUUGGAAACUAUUGGAUAAUGGAAAUCAUUAAAUGAUAAUUGAUUUGAUGAUGAAA